GCCCCCGUAGCUCAGUGGUCAGAGCGCGGGAGCGUUGGAUUUCACACAGCGUUUGUUUUCAGCGAAAUUAUCAGCAGGUCAGCGGUUCGAUAUCCGCUCGGGGGCA